CGAUAUCUGAUUAGCUAGUUGGUAGGGUAAAAGCCUACCAAGGCGACGAUCAGUAGCUGGUCUGAGAGGACGACCAGCCACACUGGAACUGAGACACGGUCCAGACUCCUACGGGAGGCAGCAGUGGGGAAUUUUGGACAAUGGGGGCAACCCUGAUCCAGCAAUGCCGCGUGAGUGAAGAAGGCCCUCGGGUUGUAAAUCUCUUUUGUCAGGGAAGAAACGGAGUUCUCUAAUAUAGGAUUCUAAUGACGGUACCUGAAGAAUAAGCACCGGCUAACUACGUGCCAGCAGCCGCGGUAAUACGUAGGGUGCAAGCGUUAAUCGGAAUUACUGGGCGUAAAGCGUGCGCAGGCGGUUUUGUAAGUCUGAUGUGAAAUCCCCGGGCUCAACCUGGGAACUGCAUUGGAGACUGCAAGGCUAGAGUGUGUCAGAGGGGGGUAGAAUUCCACGUGUAGCAGUGAAAUGCGUAG
rnacentral:rRNA from 1 species